AUUGAACGCUGGCGGCAGGCUUAACACAUGCAAGUCGAGCGGAGAUGAGGUGCUUGCACCUUAUCUUAGCGGCGGACGGGUGAGUAGUGCUUAGGAAUCUGCCUAUUAGUGGGGGACAACAUUCCGAAAGGAAUGCUAAUACCGCAUACGCCCUACGGGGGAAAGCAGGGGAUCUUCGGACCUCGCGCUAAUAGAUGAGCCUAAGUCGGAUUAGCUAGUUGGUGGGGUAAAGGCCUACCAAGGCGACGAUCUGUAGCGGGUCUGAGAGGAUGAUCCGCCACACUGGGACUGAGACACGGCCCAGACUCCUACGGGAGGCAGCAGUGGGGAAUAUUGGACAAUGGGCGGAAGCCUGAUCCAGCCAUGCCGCGUGUGUGAAGAAGGCCUUUUGGUUGUAAAGCACUUUAAGCGAGGAGGAGGCUACCUGGAUUAAUACUCUUGGAUAGUGGACGUUACUCGCAGAAUAAGCACCGGCUAACUCUGUGCCAGCCGCCGCAGUAACAC
rnacentral:rRNA from 1 species